rnacentral:rRNA from 1 species
CCUACGGGUGGCAGCAGUGGGGAAUAUUGCACAAUGGGCGAAACCCUGAUGCAGCAACGCCGCGUGAGUGAAGAAGUAUUUCGGUAUGUAAAGCUCUAUCUGCAGGGAAGAAGAAUGAAGGUACCUGACUACGUAGCCUCGGCUAACUACGUGCCAGCAGCCGCGGUAAUACGCAGGGGGCAAGCGUUAGCCGGAGUUACUGGGUGUAACGGGAGCGUAGACGGGUGUGCAAGUCUGAAGUGAAAGCCCGUGGCUCAACCGCGGAACUGCAUUGGAAACUGUAUAGCGUGAGUACUGUAGAGGCAGGCGGAAUUCCUAGUGUAGCGGUGAAAUGCUUAGAUAUUAGGAAGAACACCAGUGGCGAAGGCGGCCUGCUGGACAGAAACUGACGUUGAGGCUCGAAAGCGUGGGGAGCAAACAGGAUUAGAUACCCUAGUAGUC